GGGGGAAGAAACUUCCAGACCCUGAAACUUGAGACCUUAGCUUCAUUGCUCCUUCUAUCAUCGCCGGUGGUCCAUGAUGUCGUCGUCGGUGAUUACGUCGUGUGCCUGUCUGCCGUCGCCUUCCUCCCUUUUUCAGAUUUCGGUUCGCUGUUCCUCCUUCUUACUCUGUUCAGCAUUCUGAUUCGUUCUUCUCCUCAACUGGCAUUGUGAUUUGCUGGAACUUGAACCACCCUGCUGGAGUUUUGCUGCACUUAGCUGUUCUUAGCCUUACACUGGGUAUGUGCUCUUGGACAUAGCUUUGAGCUGAGUUUGUGCAUGAUAGUUAGUAACUUCAAUAAUCAGAUUCACUUGGGAGGGAUUUGUGAAAACCCUGUACCUUAUUUGAAUGCGAGUGACUAGUUAUGUAUAUCUCUGAAACUUAAUUAAACUUGUUGGAAUUUCUAGACCAAAAUUUUGUUG